rnacentral:rRNA from 1 species
UAGGGAAUAUUGGACAAUGGGUGCAAGCCUGAUCCAGCCAUGCCGCGUGCAGGAAGAAGGCCUUCUGGGUUGUAAACUGCUUUUGCCAGGGGAUAAAAAGCCCGUGCGCGGGAAAUUGAAGGUACCUGGUGAAUAAGCCACGGCUAACUACGUGCCAGCAGCCGCGGUAAUACGUAGGUGGCAAGCGUUGUCCGGAUUUAUUGGGUUUAAAGGGUGCGUAGGCGGUCCUGUAAGUCAGUGCUGAAAUAUCCCGGCUUAACCGGGAGGGUGGCAUUGAUACUGCAGGACUUGAGUGAAGUCGAAGUAGGCGGAAUUGACGGUGUAGCGGUGAAAUGCUUAGAUAUCGUCAAGAACACCGAUAGUGAAGACAGCUUACUAGACUUCAACUGACGCUGAGGCACGAAAGUGUGGGGAUCAAA